rnacentral:pre_miRNA from 1 species
UUAGCUCAUAUUUGUAUGGAAUGGGAUCGUUUGCGUUCGUUUGCCGCUAGGGGCGCUAUUCCAACUGCAUACAAAAUUGGGUUA